ensembl:lncRNA
GAUGGGUCCUGUUAUCAGAAGAAAGGUCACAGGCAAAAGCAAUAUGUCCCCUGCAUCCUUAGAAUGCAGAGCUGCUGCUUUUCUCCUACAGCCAUCCACAACACAGCCUCGCGCUUAAAACACACAGGCUUGAAUUCUUGUGGGUGCUGGGUGUACUGAGCGCUCAAGCUGCAGUCCCAGGAUAACCCUCAUUAGUGGAGGAUAAGAAUAGGGCUCUUCUCGGGGAUGCAGCUGGAUCAGAUGGGGGUGGGUGUCAGGAAGGGGGAACCAGCCCGGCCAAAUUGCCAGAACCCCGGGAUUCCUUCCAGGCCAGGAUUAUGGGCAAUUGCAGGCAUGGAACCCUUCCAAUCUAUCCCUCCCAACCCUAGCCAAGAGCCUGUGAUUGAAAGUCUCGUUCGUUCAUUUGGUUCAGGGUGGCAUGGAGAGAGGGACACAGCUAGCCUGUGCGUUGGGACAUCUCAGAUGAGUGCCUUAUGCCUUAUGUGAGGGGACUCCAGAGUCUCAGCUCCCAGUCUCACCUAAUCCACUGCCUGACUCCCAAACCACUCUCUACCUCUUCUGCAUCCUUUCUCCAUACUUGCGGGAACGGGAGUGGGGUGAGGCGGAGUGCCCACAGAGAGGAGGUCUGCCUUAUGUGUUUUUCAGAUAUUUUAUUAAGAAUAAGGCAUAUGACAGUCACCCCUAAAGCACAGGGCUCUAUUUCUGUGGGUGAGUGAAUACACUCUGAAAAGCAUUGGAUUAAAAAGCGCAGCCAACAGAGAAUUUGGAGCAGGAUGCCUCUGCCCUGCUCACGGGGCUCCUGCCAGGGGGUUCUGAAGCCCUGCCUGUCCCCCAUUCAAGGCUGGUGCCUCAGCGAGAGGGCGCUUAGGGAUGCCCCACCCUCCGCACUGAGGACAUGCUGCUCCACACCCUCUCGGUCCCCUUCCUCUCUACCAGGGAGGCCUCUAUUCUGCUGCUUAUUUGGAGAAGGGCUACCCCAUUUCAGCCCUGGACUGGUCCCCUCAACUGCAGGCCACUGUGGGUGGGAUGAGGGGGCAGGGGUUCAGAGCCUCAUGCUGCAUUGCCCCUUGGUCCCUGGCUGGCUUCCAGAACAGGGAGGGUUCCCCACCUGCACUUUCCUUCCUGGUCUGUGCACACUUGGGGUGUGGCUGGAGCUCCGACUAGGGCCCCUGAAUGUCUCUGUCAACACACCCCUGCCCCGCUGGGGUUUCGUGCAGCAGAGAAGAGGGGAGAAGCCAGGAGGAGAAAGAAUCCUUUCCCUUCUAGUUACCCAGACCUUCCAGGAGCUCGUGGGAAGGAGUCUUUCCUUUGGCAGGGUGGGUCCCCCAGGCUAGGGGAUGGGGAGGGCCUCUCCCAACCCUGAGGCUGAGGCCAAGCAGGCCACUGACUCCCAGUCCCAUUCUGCUGCACCAAGUGUUCUGUUCCAAAACCCGGAGCAGGCAGCUGGAGGGGAGUCUCUAGUCCAUUAUUUCCAGGAGACAGAUGGGGAAAGGGAAUUUCUGCUAAAAUUGAGACCCUGUAUCAGCCGCAGCCCCUCCUCCAGCCUGCUAGUGGAGGGGGGAGGAUCGCCUUAUUUCCCUUCCAAGGGGGCCCAAUACCCCUGACAUUCAGUGACUCAGCCGCCCCCGCACUUAGGACUUUCUUUCAUCUCAGGGCUCUCCAAGCACCCCACAGACAAUUAAAUGUCAUUAUCUCUGGUGCUAGAACAGGGACAGGAGUUGGGAGGUGCUGAUGGGGUCACUUGGGGAGAGACAGGCAGGCCACCGGAGGAUCCCUGGGGUGGGGGUGUGGUGGGAGCCCCAGCAGGACACCUUGGGGCCCCAGGAGGGAAGGGGGAAGAGGGCUAUUGCUAUAGAGCCAGGGGGAGGCCAGGGGGGUGUUGCUAUGGCUUUUAGUAGGUGGGUAGGUGGAUCAAGUACUUCACCAUCUCUGUAGAAGAAGCGACGUAACAAAGUCACCCUGUUCACCCCAAAAGUGUGGUUGUGGAAGAUGAAGGUCUGGGGGGUGCCUCCAGAAAGAGACCCUUUCCCUCCUUCCCACAUCCUCUGGGCUCCUUCUGUGAGUGCAGUCAAGAGAGAAGAGAGGCCUCCUCACACAGACCCAUUCUGAAAGGGAGGGCGACAGGACGAGGGGUACAGCAUCACACACACUUGAAGGGGGACACAGAAGGCAGAGGCUCAACCAGAGACUGGGGCAGGGGGUAGAGGCAGGGGCAGGCAGAGCAAGGACCCUGGGCCACUACUGUGGCUCAGGUUAGACUAGAGAGCACUGUCUGUCCCAAGGGUGGCCACACCUUGGCCGUCUGAUCCCAGUGGCUGGACGCCCAGACCAGGCCUGGUUAUUGCUCAGUGGUCUCAGCAGCCCUGAGUGUGGCCAGCUGGGAGGGGCUAUAUGUCGGUGUGAGGCGGCAGUGUGCUCACUGGGUUUGCUUCCUGCUGAUUUCCCCCUCCCUCUAACAUAUAGAGUGAAAGAGGAUAUGAUUCCGGACUUCCCCCCUCUUUUUCACCGCCAGCCGUACGGGAGAAGGGUUCAUCACCCUUAGAGAUUGACUCUGCUCACUGCCCGGAUCCCGGGGUGACACAGAAUGUACGACCUCAGCCAGGGUGGGGACCUGCCAGAAUGCGGUGUUUGUGAGGGAGGUAAAGGCCUCUCCCUACCCCAUGUCCUCCCUCGGCAGCCCCUGGAAGACCUCACAGGCACUUAGGACUCGAUGCAGGACCAACAGAGGAGGAAUGGCGUGGGGCUGGGAGGGCUCUAGCGGUGUGUCUUUCUAGGCUGGGCUUGGGGGGAGGGGCAACCAGCUGGACUGGAACUGCACUGCCUGCCUUCGGUCGGGAGAGGGGAGCAACGCAGCUGGAGGUGGGGGCCUUCCAUUUCCAUCUGGCCAUUCCCCAACCAAGACAGAAGGGCACCAUGCACCCCGUCACCUGAUAGGAUUGGGGGCCUCCCUGGAGGGGGCCAGGCUGAGGACUAACCUGCGCUCUCCCGCCCCAGCAAACUCAAACCUCUAACAACUGCCACUUCCAAGCAGCCGGGUCCUUUUCCCGCCUCUGGGUGCAGCCAGCUAAUUAGGAAGCUGGGCAAAACGAGCACCAAUAAACAGGACUAGGACAACUCCCAGGGCAGCCUUCAGGUUCCCAGCGACCUCCUGAAGGCAGUUGCUGCCCUUCCACAUUCUGGCAGGGCGGCCCGACUCUGGAGCGUUCCCCCUCAUGUCCCCAGCUCAGCUCCUAGUCUAAAUACCUGGUCGGCAUCCCGGGAAAGAACCGAGCUGCAGACAGCUCUACACCAGGUCCUGCCGCCAAAGCCACUCUGUAAUCCUCUCUAAGGGUCUAUGGCUGCUACUUUCCAUAAGUUCAAACUUCCUUCAGGCCACACUUUCUCCACCAGGAGCUCUGCGAGGAGGUUCUUCUAAAGUGUUCGGUGCUCACGCCUAAGGACCUAUCAGCGGCGUAGGGGUAGGAGACGGGGCUUCCGAGGGAAAGGCCCAGCCUCUAGCCCGCCGCCGAGCUUCUCCGCGGAGCAAGGCUCGGCGGGAAGGGCAGGCGUGCGGGGCGCGGGGAGGCCGCAGGGAGGGGCUAGAAGGCCCAAGGGUGCUAAGUGCCACUCUUGUUCCUUUCCGGAGGCCAGCCCAGCGUUCUCCCUCCCGCCAAACGAUUGUCAGCUUUCCCGGGGCAGGGCGUGACACCUGCCCCCUCCCCUCCCAAUGGCUGGGUGGGGAUCGGCACUGCGAGUCCACGCCACAAAAGAAGGUGCAAUCGCUGAGCCCCGCGCAGGAGCUUCCUCGCGGGAGGGGAGAGCUCGAAGCUUCGGAAACAUCGGGAAAUACAAAAGGCGGGGGCGGUGGGACGGGGUUGGGGAGCGGGGGUCGCCUCCGCCCGCCCCCUGGAGGAGGGACCGACUCCCUCGGCCUCGGGGACCUGCCAGCGCGGCCCGAGCUGCGUCCUAGCCGUUGC